GCAGCUCCCGCUUCCUGGUGCAGUGGUGAUGUGAUGGCAAGCUCUCUCUGUGUGUGAUAGAGUUGAGUGGGAAGUGGCAUUCUUCACUUCAGGAUGAAAAGGAGUAGGCUGCUAGACUGUGGGUCUCAAAAUUCCAGAUGAGGAGAGAUUUACUGUGGGCAUCAAUAUUCACCUUCAAAACAUUCACUUACCUAGACAUUCAGUUUAUAAAGAAAAGGCUUUUGUUUUAUUUUUACCCAGGAGACAAAAGCACGUGACUCUGAAUGGGGUGGAAGAAGCUGAUGAAGUUUGCCAGGUGGGUUAGUAUUCUUUCUAGAACACCUGUGCUGUAAUCAGUGUACAUUUUUCUUGCUUCUUAUGAAACUAAAACUGAAUUUCCAUAGGGAUAAUGGUCAUUUAAUUGUCUUCUAAACAGGCAUAUUUUGAGAAAAGUGGGGGCUUCUAUUAAUUAUUCUAGGAAAAUAAGUUAAAGACUGCCCUAGAAAAUCACGAUACAAGAUGUUUCAUCUAUAUGAUUGGCUUUUAGCUUUGCAGAUACUUAGCAGUUUACUGCAGUAACUUUUCCUGCUUGUUUUAUCAACCCAUUUCCAUUUAUUUUUGAUCUUGCAGAAAUAUGUUGACAUUUCUUAUUUGUUGGUAAAAUAUGCACACACACCUCCAUUUCUCUGCCACGUUAUCUUUUUUAUAUGACUGUUCUAUUUUAUACUUGUAUCCUUUUUUUAAUCAGUAGGGUUUUGUGAGGUAUUGGAGACAAAUAUGUGUGCAAAAUUGCAUCUAGAAUUGAUAGAAUUUUAAAGAAAAUUUGUUCAACUUUGGCAUUUGUGGAUUUAAUUGAUGCCACCAGUGAGGCUGUAUUAAUUAUGAUUUAUGUUAAAAUUAAGGUCUGACAAAAGUGAAUAUUUAUUAAGUAUACAGUGUUGAUAGUUAGAAUUAGAGUCAGAAUAUAUGCCCUCUAGGUGGAGAAAAAGACUUUAAGCCAGGAUUAAAGCAGUUGUAUAGCAUUCAUAUAAUAAAGAAUUUUGCUAAUAUAACCAAAUUGGGCAUGAGGUCAGUACCAAAUAAUGAACAGUUUGAGUUGAAAAACAUUUAAAAAGAAAUGCAAAUUUUAAGCUUUUACAUGUUCACUCCAUUGCUCCCUGAGAUCAUUUGGAUAGCAGAGGAAAGGACAUUACAGGCAGAGGGUGUAUGAAGUGCAAUACUCUGAGCAAGGAGCUUGCCUGCUCUGUUCAAAGAACAGUGACAAGUGAUGAGCCCAGUUUAGUUAAGGUGAAAUGAAUAAGGGAGGAGGGAGGAGGAGAUGUAGUCAGAGAAGUAAUGGGGCCAGCUCAUGUAGGUCCUGGUAUACCAUGGUAAGGACUCUUAGUUUUUAUUCUGAGUGAGAUGGAAAGCCAUUGAAAGGUUGUGAAUAGAGGAGUGAGAUUAUGUUUUCAUGGAAUCUCUAUGUCUGUUCUUUGGAGAAUAUGCUGAAGCUGGACAAACUUAUUAUAAAACAGUAGGUCAGGUAGGAGGUAGUUGCAAUAAUACAGACAGCAAUAAGAAGUACUGAAUGAAUGAAUAAAACAUUCAUGUAGGACACUGUAUCAGAAUUUGUAUAUAAAGCAGAGAUCCCUCUUUUCUAGGCUACCAAAUUCUUGAUCUUUCUGAAAGUCGCUUUUUUCAGGCACAGGGAUGGAAGAUGUAUGGAUUCUUCCUUUUCGGAUUCAGGUGCUUCUUCCAAAUAUCCUCCUGUCAGUCUCACUCUGGUGGCUGUCACCCUGCAGGGCUGUGGUUGGUUAUUCUUUACCUUUCUAGAUAAUGCAGAGAAAGGUGUUGUGUAGACCAGCUUCUUCUGUUUCCUCCAAGAUUCAGACUACUCAAACUGCAUGUUCAUUCUCAGAGAGAAAGAAGGGCCAUAUUCCAUUUUCUCAAGAUCCAAUGCACUCACUCAUCUGUUUUUUGAAAGAGUCUUUGUAUUUUGAAAGAGUGACUUCUGACCUCUCAAGGAAACUUUCACAACAUGAGUCUUCAGAGCCCUCGAUUUGGCACUACCUGU
rnacentral:lncRNA from 1 species